GCACGGAAUGCGUGAUAAGCAAUAACCUGUGUUCGGGUUUUUUAUUUUCGACUAAAAGACGAAUUUAAAUUUGUAGCAAGAAACUGAACACACAAAAUUGCGGCCAGCUCGGUAAGGUGCUCUGCCAUACAAACCCAAAGAUUUCAAAAGCGGUAUGGAUGGGAUAAGGGUGGAAGGGUGAGGGAAGGUACAAUCACCAAGUACAAUACACAAUCGAGAUCCAGCAUAAAAAGUUGCGAAUAUAAAACAAAAGUGUCACUUGCCGAGGGUCUGGAGGUACCAGACGAUGUCCGAGGUUGAGCUUGCAUUGUUAUUCCCUUUGUCGUUGGCUUGGUUUGUGUUGAUUCGUUUUUAGGAGUAUUUAUUCAUGUAUGUGUAUAUAUGUGGCCAUUUGAUUCCGCCGGAGCCCCACAAUCAUUCAUUUCGGUAAGAUCAAUGAAUCGAUACGAUAUACCUGGGGAGACAGAGAACUGCGACAAAAAGAAAUCCAGAAGGCGAAAGCUAAGCGGUAUGAGUUCCCGGGAUCGAGACGAGAUCAAAAAGUUUCAGUUGAUGAACUGUUUUCAAAAUUUACGAAGGAGUACAGAAAGAAACCAAUAAAUUUACUUUUUAGCCUUCAUUAAAAUUGUCGCCGAUUGUUUUCGCCGCAUGAAUAUGUUAAUUGCAAGAUCAUCAAACGUACAUACAUAUAUCUGUAUGCAUAGGAAAAAAUCGGUCUUAGCAAGGUAACAACUGCCACU